AUGGUCAAUAUGAAACACAUAUGAAUCUUCCUUCUUGCCCUCGUUGAAUCAAACAAAGGAGAGUUAAGUGGCUAUCUGAUUUGGAGUUUACAGGGCUUCUCUAUAAAGACUGGUACAAUUGUGGACACUAACUACUAGCUAUUGUAUUUUUCAUUCCUUUUUGAGAGUAACUGGCAGGUGCGAAACAUUUAUAUGUGAUCCAGACCUUUCCAUAUGGGAAAAUGCAACUAUGUGACUUUCUGGUCCUCUUGUGAUGCUCUCAGUACCUAUGACUAGGAGCUAGACUUAUUAUAGAUGUUGGAGUUUUGGCUUCAAUCCUCUAUUGCUCAAAAUAGAAAGGAAGCAUGAAGAUACAUGCACAAAGGAGGAAGAGAAAAAUGAUAUUCCCAGAGGUCAGGUUGUUAAAUAUUUACCAACACACUCCUUCCUGAAAUCUUCUAUGGAGCAAAUCAUGGACAAUUCACAGCAUAAGAUCAUUGUUCUUCCUCUUGAGUUCCAAUAUUCUUGAGGAACAUACAUCUACUUCCUUUGCAGAUUUGGGACUAUCUGCAUUUGAUGCCUCCUGGGAAAUAAUGAGGACUUCCUCUAACUUUGAUGCACCCUUACCUUUCAGGAUGCUGGCUUUUUCAGUUUAGCUUCUUCUUGAGUAAUCUCAUACUGCUUUGGCUUUGAUUAUGUUUUAUGCAUUUUGAACCUGAAAUACUUGUCUGCUAAUAGC
rnacentral:lncRNA from 1 species